CGCUCUCCAAAAACUUGUGAUAAUUCCGCUGGCAACGUCGGAAAUAACACCAAAACUCCAUUCUGAUGGCGACAUAUCAGAGGGUACACCUUCACAAAAGGAAGGUAACAUGUGCAAUUCUUCCUCAGAAGACACCCAUAACGACCUCUGUUGGCCUCAGCCAAAGUCUAAGGCGACACAUGAACAGAAGAUAAUCCUGAGGACCUCA
rnacentral:lncRNA from 1 species